ensembl:lncRNA
UGGGGGAUUCCCAUGAUGCAUUGAGUUUUUCCUUUUCAGUCACCUUUCUCACUCACUAUGUGUUAAUAGACCUCUCUGCACUGAAUCAUACUUGUUAUUAAUCUGUCUCUCUUCCGGAGGUUUCUUCCUGUUAAAAGGGAGUUUUUUCUUCCCACUGUUUCCAAAGUGUUUGCUCACAGGGGUCAUAUGAUUGUUGGGUUUUUUCUCUGCAUGCAUUAUCGUAGGGUCUACCUUACAAUAUGAAGCUGAAUUGAACUGAAUUGAAGAAUGUAAGGAAUGGGAUUUACUUCAACUUUCAGUAAGCAUUAGCUCAUGAAACCAUGUUGGAUUUGAUUUGAUUUACUUUGUUUAUAUGGUUUUUUUUUUUUUUUUAAACUGGUAUAAUAGUUCAACAAAUAUUUGCAAAUACAUAGUAAUAGAUUACAUGGAUGUUUUUAUGAGUACAUCGAUGUAUCUUAACAAGCGUUUCUAAAAAAAGCCCUAACUUUAUUGCGGCUUCCUUAAUGACAAGGCAACGUUUCAUUAUCGACUCCAUUGCUGGUGAAUGAACCCAUGUGGGCAGAUAUAAAUCUCAUCUGCACUGUCCUCCUAUUUCAGCUGGCUGAUAUGAUAGUUAUCCUUUGGGAAAUUCUCGCGAAGCCUAAUAAGGCAUUAAAGCUGAUUCCGUUGCUUUUGGAAAAGUACGAACGGGCUCAGAAAGCCGAAUAAUGUCCUCAUUCAAAUUUGACACACUUGAAGAAAAAUGCUGAGCAUUUUGAAGUCGUAAAAGUUGGAAGUGGGUGAGAGAGACAUAGUCUUACAAAUGAUUUUCAGCAGCUUCAUACCAUACGGGUAUCAGACUGGAGACUUUCCUAAUAGAUUUUAGUCUAACUUUUCAUCAGCCUGCUGAGAGAAAUCCCCCAAUGGUCUGGAGAAUCAAAGAAAAUAAUUUCAACCCUUGCACCAUUUUUCAUCACCUUCUAGAGCUAUCAGAAGGCAUGUGCUGCUAUUUUUUUCCCUAGGCAAGCAUAUGAGA